GCGAAAGUAGCUCAGUUGGUAGAGCGUCAGCCUUCCAAGCUGAAUGUCGCGGGUUCGACCCCCGUCUUUCGCUC
rnacentral:tRNA from 1 species